CAUGCUGGCAUCACUGCUCUAACAUAUGUUGAUGCAGCCAAAGUGGUGACCCAGACGCCUGCUGUCCACACAGUUUCCACAGGACAACAAGUUGUUCUCAACUGCAACAUUCAGAGAUAUGAUCGGGACUCUGUCCAGUGGUAUAAACAGGUUCCUGGUGAAGCUCCUCAGUAUGUUCUUCAAUUUUUUCUUGGGGAUGGUUCACUCAACUUUGGAUCAGGAUUCUCCUCAGACCGAUUCAACUCUAAAUCCUCAUCAAACAUAGAUUACCAGUUCAUCAUAAAGCGGACAGAGACAGGAGACUCUGCUGUCUAUUACUGUGAGACAUGGGACACCUCUGCUAAUGAAGUUGUAUCACAGUGAUUCACACUGUGACAAAAACCUCAGUGAGA